AACAAAUGCUAGCCCAAACAACACAAUAAACCCAAUAAUAAUAUAUUCUAUAAAACAAAACAUUUACCCAAUCAAAAGUAUAGGAGAUAGAAAUUUUAACACGGCGCUAUAGAGAGAAGUACCGCAAGGGAAAGAUGAAAGAUAAAUUAAAAGUAUAAAACAGCAAAGAUAAACCCUUGUACCUUUUGCAUAAUGAAUUAACCAGAAGAAUUUGACAAAGAGGACUUAAGCCAAACACCCCGAAACCAGACGAGCUACCUAGUAGCAGCCACACGGGCGAACUCGUCUAUGUAGCAAAAUAGUGAGAAGACUCCUAGGUAGAGGUGAAAAGCCUAUCGAGCCUGGUGAUAGCUGGUCGUCCAGAAUAGAAUUUUAGUUCAAUUUUAAGUUCUACCCAAAAACCCUAAUAAUUCUCCUGUAGACUUAAAAUAUAAUCUAACAGGGUACAGCCUUUUAGAAAUAGGAUAAAACCUUAACUAGAGAGUAAGCAUAUAUGUAUUUACAUAGUUGGCCUAAAAGCAGCCACCAAUUAAGAAAGCGUUCAAGCUCAAUAUGCCCCAUAUACCUUAAUACAAAAAAUUGCACACGAACUCCUAGACCAACACUGGAUUACUCUAUUAAAAAAUAGAGGAAAUACUGUUAAUAUGAGUAACAAGAACUAACUUCUCCAAGCACAAGUUUAUAUUAGAACGGAUAACCCACUGAUAGUUAACAACAAAAUAAUUAUAUACUACAGCUUAAAAUCUUAUUAAACUAAUUGUUAACCCAACACAGGAGUGCAUCCAAGGAAAGAUUAAAAUAAGUGAAAGGAACUCGGCAAAUAACAAACCCCGCCUGUUUACCAAAAACAUCACCUCUAGCAUACCAAUUAUUAGAGGCACUGCCUGCCCAGUGACAUUAGUUCAACGGCCGCGGUAUCCUGACCGUGCAAAGGUAGCAUAAUCAUUUGUUCCUUAAAUAGGGACUUGCAUGAAUGGCUACACGAGGGUUUUACUGUCUCUCACUUACAAUCAGUGAAAUUGACCUUCCCGUGAAGAGGCGGGAAUUCAAAAAUAAGACGAGAAGACCCUAUGGAGCUUUAAUUAAUUAACUCACAAACAAAUACUUAAUGUUCUCAGGAACACAAAACACUUCAGAUGAGUUAACAAUUUAGGUUGGGGUGACCUCGGAAUACAAAACAACUUCCGAGUGAUAAAGUAAAGACAAACAAGUCAAAACAUUACAUCAUUUAUUGAUCCAAUAAAAUUGAUCAACGGAACAAGUUACCCUAGGGAUAACAGCGCAAUCCUGUUUGAGAGUCCAUAUCGACAACAGGGUUUACGACCUCGAUGUUGGAUCAGGACAUCCCAAUGGUGCAGCCGCUAUUAAAGGUUCGUUUGUUCAACGAUUAAAGUCCUACGUGAUCUGAGUUCAGACCGGAGUAAUCCA
rnacentral:rRNA from 1 species